AACGAACGCUGGCGGCAGGCUUAACACAUGCAAGUCGAGCGCCCCGCAAGGGGAGCGGCAGACGGGUGAGUAACGAGUGGGAAUCUACCCAUCUCUACGGAAUAACGCAUGGAAACGUGUGCUAAUACCGUAUAGGUGCUUCGGGAGAAAGAUUUAUCGGAGAUGGAUGAGCCCGCGUUGGAUUAGCUAGUGGGUGGGGUAAAGGCCUACCAAGGUGACGAUCCAUAGCUGGUCUGAGAGGAGCAUCAGCCACACUGGGACUGAGACACGGCCCAGACUCCUACGGGAUGCAUCAGUGGGGAAUAUUGGACAAUGGGCGCAAGCCUGAUCCAGCCAUGCCGCGUGAGUGAUGAAGGCCCUAGGGUUGUAAAGCUCUUUCACCGGUGAAGAUAAUGACGGUAACCGGAGAAGAAGCCCCGGCUAACUUCGUGCCAGCCGCCGCCGUAAGAC
rnacentral:rRNA from 1 species